UUUUCCUUCUAUUUCUAAAGUAUUAUUAUAAGAAGACCAAGACCUCCUCGUGUUACUCUAUAUACUCACACACCCCACUCAAUUUCAUGAUCAACAGCCAUGAAGUUCAUCCACAUUUGCCUCUCUCUCUUCAUUCUCCUCUCCAUCUUCACCAUCUGCAGAUCUGUAAGUAUUCUCGUUAGAUCAACUUCAUGUUCAUAUUUCUCGAGCAAUAUAUAAAUUCUUGACAUGUUUUAUACGCAUUAUGAAUAAGAAAAAA
rnacentral:lncRNA from 1 species